rnacentral:lncRNA from 1 species
CACAGAAUUAGGAAGUAACAACAGGAGCACAGAGCUGCUUUCCUGCCUGAAAACUCCCAUAAAAAGGAUGCGUCUUCAUAAAAAUGCAGCACAUCAGUUAAUGGAUCUUACGUAUCUUUGUUCCACCCUUUAAAAAGGAAAUCCUGAGUUACUGGGCUAAGCAGUUCAACUCCAAGAGGCACAAAGACCUAAAAGUUAAAUAUUUGACAAGAAAAACUAACCUUCACGGCCAUAUAACUUUUAAUGAAAACAAUCAUUCAAUCAAAAUUUCUUUGCACAAAUGCAGAGGAAACAGAUGGAACGAGCGCAAAACAGGUGCACCUACAGCUGCAAGUUCUUGCACAGCUGAGAGAUGUGAUGCUAUAUUGCAUCAGUAUUUGGAAAGGAAUUCAAAGAAUUUAGAUCAUAUCAGCAUAAAAACUGGCAAAUACUCAUUCCCUGUUCAUUUAUUUUUCACAUGCAUUCAAUAAAAAGUUGCAGAAAACCAGAUUCUUAUUUCUGUAUCACAAUACAUUGGGGCAAGACCCCAGGGUAAGGGUAGGAAAUAUGCCUUAACAGUGAAAAGUUAUCAUACAUAGCUAUACAAAACAUAGUUGUGGAAGUAACUCAGAAUCGUUGCAAAAGCACAUAGACAUCUCAGAAAAAACUGUUUGCCCUUCCAUAUCCUCUAUCUACAUUUCUUUUAGAGAGAACAGUAGUAUACUGAAAUAGAAUAGUUUUGUGCAUUUUAUUAAAAAGAAAAUUUCCAGCUGUCCCAAUGCAUCUCCACACAUGGAAACCCAAUUAAAAUCAUCUGGCUUCAUUUUCCUCCUAUUGACAUAAGUUUUAAGCACAUGAUUAUUCAUUCUAAUUUAAGAAUCGUUAUUCUUAAAUAAGAAUCAUUAUUAAUUUCUAAUUUAAGUCAUGAUGAUAAAAAUCCCAUAAGACCUGACCCUGUUAAUGCUGUAAGCCAAACUCUUACCUGCAAUAUACAACUAGUCCCAUUACUUGCAUUUAAGCAUUUGAAAAAUUCCAU